CUUAUUUCCUUGAGCAUUAGUUUGUAGUUCUCUUUGUAAAGGUCCUUCACAUCCCUUGUUAGUUGUAUUCCUAGGUAUUUUAUUCUCUUUGUUGCAAUUGUGAAUGGGAGUUCCUUCAUGAUUUGGAUCUCUGUUUGUCUGCUGUUGACAUAUAGGAAAGCUUG